UCCGUAGGUGAACCUGCGGAAGGAUCAUUAUCGAAUUGUAAGGUCUCUGGUUGUCGCUGGCUCUCCUCUUUCGGGGGGAGCAUGUGCACGCCAGGUCCGCACUCUUCAUUCUUUAACCUCCUGUGCACCCUCUGUGGAUCGUGGUUGGGUAACUCUCGGGCUAACACCCGGUUUUGAGGUUUGCGUCUAAAACGCGCUUUCCUCUACAUCCACACCUCGGUUCAUGUAACUUUACACACUACUUUAUUAAACCUAGAAUGAUUAUACGAGUUGGGACUUUAUUGACCCUCCUUAAACUUUAUACAACUUUCAACAACGGAUCUCUUGGCUCUCGCAUCGAUGAAGAACGCAGCGAAAUGCGAUAAGUAAUGUGAAUUGCAGAUUUCAGUGAAUCAUCGAAUCUUUGAACGCACCUUGCGCCUUGUGGUAUUCCACAAGGCAUGCCCGUUUGAGUGUCAUUAAAUCAUCAACCUCAAAACCUUUGUGUUUCUGAGGCUUGGUCUUGAGGGUUUUGCAGGCCAUCCCCUUGGUCUGCUCCCUUUAAAUCUAUUAGCGAGACUUCCCUGUGCUGACCGUCUCUUGGCGUGAUAAUUAUCUGCGUCAAACUUGGCGGUUCUCGUUGGGCUUGCUUCUAAUCGUCCUCGGACAAUCGGAUUUGGGCGCAUAUAUGCACCUUUUUCCAAACCUUUUUGACCUCAAAUCGGGUAGGACUACCCGCUGAACUUAAGCAUAUCAAUAAGCGGAGGA
rnacentral:rRNA from 1 species